GCCCGCCCCAGGAAGAGCGCUCCCGCGAACUGCGGCGGUGGUGGCUGGGCCACCAGAGGGAAGCGGGUGUGGCCCAGGCAGCGGGGGCUGGGACAGACCUGGAAAGGAGGAAGCGGGGAAGGAAGGUUGUCCUGUCGGGCUGGGGGCUCCCGGGAAUCCGGAGGCCAGCAGUGGAACCGCAAGGCUCUACAGGGCAGAUCUGCCUCCCGUGCUGUCUCAGCUACGCCGAGUCGUUGGCUCAGGGCGGAGGAUUUUCCUAUUGGCCGCGUUAUUUGAAUGGAAUGGAGGAUAGGUCGUGAAGGUGGAACCAAGCAGAGGGGUUCACCCAAGCCAUCUUUGGGUGCUUCCAUGGGAAAGAAGGAUUUCACUGAGAAUAAUAAGUGACACCAAGGCUCAAAAGAAUGAGAGAGAAGUCUGUUGGUCUCUUGAACAGCAGGGAUUUGCUCACAGAUCUCUGGAAGUAGCCAGAAUGUGACAGGAUCUCAAAAUGAAUGGCUGCUUCAUGGAGGCUGGAACAUAAGCCUGGGACUCCCAGUAGCCAAACAUAGCUGUGCCACAAACAUGGCUGAAAUGUAGCAGUUUGGUGGAUCCGAGGUCAGUCAUUGAAAAUGUAUUGAUUGGCACCUAUUCUUUGUGAAUCAUUAUUCUGGGUUCUGGGGUCACAGGAGCAAAUGAAACAAAUGAAGUACCUGCCAUCAAUGAGCUUACAUUCUAGUAAAGAGGGACAGAAAAUGAAUACAUUUUAAAUGAAUAAAUUCAGAUACCGCUAAAUGUAGUGAAGAAAAAAAUUGGGCUAAAGAGAGCGAAAAACAAUUUCUGAAGUUACUAGCAGUGAAGGGUGGGGGAAGAGAAGAGACGGAUUUAACCAGGAAAGAUCUGAGCUGAGGGUGUAUCCAGGUUUUCUGGAACCUGAUAUUAUUACAGUUUAGAGAUUCUUCUUCAAGAAAAAGAAUUUAAAAUUACAAAUAAUUAACUUCAGGGCCUUGGAAGGGGUCCACUCAAGUGAACAGAAAAUUAUGUGCUCCUUAUAAAAUAUAUGAUUUAAAACUACAACAGUGGCUGGCCGUGGUGGCUCAUGCCUGUAAUCCCAGCACUUUGGGAGGCUGAGGCAGGUGGAUCGCGAAGUAAAGAGAUCGAGACCAACCUGGCCAACAAUGGUGAAACCCCGUCUCUACUAAAAAUACAAAAAUUAGCUGGGCGUGGUGGCAUGUGCCUGGUGUCCCAGCUACUUGGGAGGCAGAGGCAGGAGAAUCGCUUGAACCUGGGAGGUGGAGGUUGCAGUGAGCCGAGAUUGUGCCACUGCACUCCAGCCUGGCGACAGAGUGAGACGUCUCAAAAAAAAAAAAAAAAAAAAACUAUAACAGUAAUUGAGUGUAUAAACACUCAAUUUGUUUCCUCAGCUAGAUCUAGAACCAAGGAUUCUAGAAAAUAUGUGUCAAAACCCAGCUCUCAGUUUUGUUAGCUAUCACUUAACAUCAGUUUAAAUCAUUCAUUUAUUCACCAUUCAUUAAGCCGGUAUUUAUGAGUACCCUAUUGGUACUCUGUAUGUACUAGUGCUAAAACUAUAACAAUGUAAACACUCAUUCCCUGCAAUCAACAAUAUAUACUGGCCAAAGAUUCAAUUCCAUGAUCAAGCAUAGCAGCAUUAAUAGUAGAGCAACCUCCAUUAUGUGCCUAAGCAUUACCUAAAUUUUAGCCUGAGUUUAACCAGGUGUUUUAGAUCAAAUAUCACUUUACUAGAAACAUGGGAGAUAGAAGAACAUAUUAAAUGAUACCACACAUACUUAAUCAAACAAACCUGAAAUGUAGGAUAAUCUCUAGGGCACUGGCCUGGUUUCUUUUAAAAAGUCAGUGUUAUAAAAAAUUUUAAAUAAAAAUGUUCUAGAUUAAAAGAUACUGAAAAUCAUAAUGACUAAUUAAGCUUGUAAACUUUGAUUAAGUUCCGGUUUGGAAAAAAGUUGUAUGUAAUUGAUUAUUGGAAAAAUUGAAUAUGGAUUGUGUUUUAGAUGAUAUUAAGGAAUUUUUGUUAUUUCUGUUCUAAGAUGUAAUAAUGUGAUUAUGUAGGAAUGUAUCCUUAAUUUAAGGAGAUGAGUAUGUUAAAUAUGAUGUUGCAACUUCCUUUCAAAUGAUUUCAUGAAAUAAAAAAUAAAUACAUACAAAUGCAUGUAAGUAGACAGUGCAAGUUUGGCAAGAUUUUAAUUUCUGAACUUAGGUAACAGGUAUCCAAGUGUCUGUUACUAUUUUUUCAGCUUUGCUGUUUGAUAUUUUUUACAAUGAAAUAUUGAGGGAGAAAAAGAAUGGAUUGUGGGGAGACUGUGUUGUGAUUCUCUAAUAGAGUCAAUGCCAUUACUCCAGAGAUAUUUGGACAUGUGGGUGAGGUGUUUUUGAUUAUCAAAAUGAUUGUGGAACACUACUGUCGUUUAGUGAGGAAGUGAGUAAUAAAUAACUUGUGAUGUGUGGGAAUUUUCCAAACAACAACUAAGUACCCUUCCCAAAAUGCUAAUAACUCCCCUGUUGAGAAAUACUAAAAUUAAACCAAUAAAUAGCUCACACAAAAAAUAUUCCAUUGACCUUAUAUACAACUCUAAUGUUUGUUCUCCAAUUCACAAAAAAGUACUCCUGAUAAAGAGUCAUUUAUAUUCAUGGCUUCCAUAUCCAUGUUUUCUUUCUUUUUUUUUAUUAUACUUUUAAGUUCUAGGGUACACGUGCACAACGUGCAGGUUUGUUACAUAGGUAUACAUGUGCCAUGUUGGUUUGCUGCACCCAUCAACUCAGCAUUUACAUUAGGUAUUUCUCCUAAUGCUAUCCCUCCCCCAGUCCCCCAACCCCCAACAGGCCCCAGUGUGUGAUGUUCCCUGCCCUGUGUCCAAGUGUUCUUAUUGUUCAAUUCCCACCUAUGAGUGAGAACAUGUGGUGUUUGGUUUUCUGUCCUUGUGAUAGUUUGCUGAGAAUGAUGGUUUCCAGCUUCAUCCAUGUCCCUGCAUCCUUUUUUAUGGCUGCAUAGUAUUCCAUGGUGUAUAUAUGCCACAUUUUCUUAAUCCAGUCUAUCACUGAUGGACAUUUGGGUUGGUUCUAAGUCUUUGCUAUUGUGAAUAGUGCCACAAUAAACAUACGUGUGCAUGUGUCUUUAUAGUAGCAUGAUUUAUAAUCCUUUGGGUGUAUACCCAGUAAUGGGAUCGCUGGGUCAAAUGCUAUUUCUAGUUCUAGAUCCUUGAGGAAUCACCACACUGUCUUCCGCAAUGGCUGAACUAAUUUACACUCCCACCAACAGUGUAAAAGCGUUCCUAUUCUCCACAUCCUCUGCAGCAUCUGUUGUUUCCUGACUUUUUUUUUUUUUUUUUUUUUGAGAUGGAGUCUUACUCUGUCGCCCAGGCUGGAGUGCAAUGGCACCAUCUCCGGUCACUGCAGACUCCACCUCCCGGGUUCACGUCAUUCUCCUGCCUCAGCCUCCCAAGUAGCUGGGACUACAGGCACCGGGCACCACGCCUGGCUAAUUUUUUUUUUUUUUUCGUAUUUUUAGUAUAGGCGGGGUUUCACCGUGUUAGCCAGGAUGGUCUUGAUCUCCUGACCUCGUGAUCCGCCUGCCUUGGCCUCCCAAAGUGCUGGGAUUACAGGCAUGAGCCACCGCGCCCGGCCUGUUUCCUGACUUUUUAAUGAUGACCAUUCUAACUGGCGUAAGAUGGUAUCUCACUGUGGUCAUGAUUUGCAUUUCUCUAAUGACCAGUGAUGAUAAGCAUUUUUUCAUGUGUCUGUUGGCUGCAUGAAUGUCUUCUUUUGAGAAGUGUAUGUUCAUAUCCUUUGCCCACUUUUUGAUGGGGUUGUUUUUUUCUUGUAAAUUUGUUUAAGUUCUUUGUAGAUUCUGGAUAUUAGCCCUUUGUCAGAUGAGUAGAUUGCAAAAAUUUUCUCCCAUUCUGUAGGUUGUCUGUUCACUCUGAUGGCAGUUUCUUUUGCUGGGCAGAAGCUCUUUAGUUUAAUUAGAUCCCAUUUGUCUAUUUUUGCUUUUGUUGCC
rnacentral:lncRNA from 1 species